ensembl:lncRNA
CGCAGAGACAUUUCUACAGCUCUGUAAUUAAUUUUAAUUGUGGCUACGAGUUGACUUCUAUCAAGAGUUUCAAGUGAGAUGCUGCCUCUAUGUCCCACAAGGAGGAACGCAACUGUGGGUGCACAGAGAGGCAAAAAGUGAAGGUUCGGUGAGCUGCGCUCAUCUAAUGCUUUGUUUGAAAUGUUCUGAGCACAGAGCUCCUCCAGAGCAUGUCCUGCUGCACCCGGGGGCUGGAUCUGGGACCUCUGCCCUUCAAUACAGAGCCCAGUGUUUUAUAUCCCCAUCUACACGAAAAGAAGUGGAAAAGGGAAUUAACGCUCUGGUCCCUCAAAUGUUUUCUCCUUUACCAUGAUGUCUGGGAGAGAGAGACGUGAGGGCCUCGCAGAUGUUCACAGUUACUCACCGGUCACUUUGCUGGGGUUGCUUUGGGUUCCUACUCCUUUCAGCGCUGUGGAGCCUUAAAACAAGCUCAUUAACAUGAGAGCAAGUCGUAGUGGACAGAGGAGAGACUUUAGAAGGUCUGUCGUGCUGGUCUCUAAAAAACCCGGAGAAAGAAAAGAGCAGCCUGAGACCCACCUCUCCUGGUUCCCAUUGCUAUGGAGAUGUGUGUGAUGAACUUGAAGUACAAACAAGGAUAUUCACCCAUUUUAAAUGCAGUUUAGCCCAGCUGACUUCUCCAGCUUCCUUCUGUAGUCACUGGGGAAGGAAACGCUCCUCUGUGGAAUUUAAUUUUGGUGCUUGGAGUUGCAGCCUGGAUGGGUCAAUCUUUUUCCAUGGACUUCAGAUGCAGCCUGGAAAUACGAGGCCAAACAAGGUGCCUAUUGCUGAGUAAAUGGAGGGGGAGAUGAACAUCCUUCUCCAGAACUGAAUGCAGUUAUCCAGGCUUAUGGUCAGUCUCCACGCUGUGCUUCACCUCUGAGAUAAGACAGCGUAAGGCUUUGGCUCAACUGUGCCUCUUCAGGAGGUGGAGAGCUGGGCGUUUCUGGUUUUUUCAGACAAUUUUAUGCUCUGCCUUCAUUACUCAUGAGACUCUGACAACAUACUGUUUCUGCAGUGAUCGACAGACUGGUUUGGAUGGCAGCUCUUCACGCCCUGUGCUCACCGCAGAUGUGGUUCUUCACAUCGAGGAGCUUGCACUGAGUCACUGCAUUGCACUGAGCAGAGCUGAUCAGACGUGAAUGGGGCAGAGGGGACUGACCCCUGCCCUGCUCCCCUGAAUCAGACCACAGCACAUCCACAUGCCUUCAGGAGUUGGUGUCAGCCUGGAAGAUGCCCCACAACCUGUCCUUGGCUUUCUAAAGCACCAGCACGAUGCUGGAAAAGUGGUGAAGGGGAAGGGCCAAGAACUAGCGAUAAUGAAGUACAUCCCAGCAAAUCUAUGCUGACUUUAUGGGGCUGCACGGCAUGCCCUGGAUGAUGAGGUUCCUGCCUUGCUGGCUCGGCAUUUCCAUGGGGCUUCUGGACUCCAAGGGGCCACUGGUGCAUGCUGCCCUCUGAGAGGCAGGUUGGAUUCAAGAACAUGUUCUUAUCCCUCAAACUUUUGCUAAGUUUCAGAGAAGAACUCCUUACAAGUUCAGAUAUGUAAGCAUUGGGUGUCUUUAUCUGUUCUGUCUUUCACAAAGAAUGAGAACUACGAAUGUAGUUAUGCUAUACUUGAAGGGAGAGUAUAAACAGGAGGGGGAACAGCUGUUUACGAGGGUGGACAGUGACAGGACAAGAAGGAAUGGUUUUAAACUGAGACAGGGGAGGUUUAGCUUGGAUAUGAGGAGGAAGUUCUUCACCCAGAGGGUGGUGACACACUGGAACAGGUUGCCCAAGGAGGUUGUGGAUGCCCCAUCCCUGGAGGCAUUCAGGGCCAGGCUGGAUGUAGCUCUGGGCAGCCUGGUCUGGUGGUUGGCGACCCUGCACAUAGCAGGGGGGUUGAAACUGGAUGAUCAUUGUGGUCCUUUUCAACCCAGUCCAUGCUAUGAUGAUUCUAUGAUGAUGAUAUGGGGCUGAGCCUCAAAAGGCCUGUUCCCAUGCUGUUUGCAGCCUAAUUUGGUAGCACCAAGGAAGGUGUUUAUAAAUGUCUUCUUUUCUACAGAAGCCCUUUCAAACCUAAUUGAAGGCAUUUGACCUUUUGGGAUUCACGUUGAUUCUGUCAAAGAGAAACGUAAGGAGGACUCCAUUCCCACCAAAUGUUUAAAUGUUGCAAAGCCAUGGGUAUGGUCAUUUGUCAUUGGAUGUUCCCUGGUUCUUUGCAGUGCUAAACCAAACUGACACCUGUAAUUUUUACCAACUUUCAACCUGGGCAGCAAUUGCCUAAAUGCCUCCAUCCUCCAGUAAAUUAAGUGGUCCACCAUACUUUUGAACUACUGUGUUGUUCCCCAUUCAAUGUUGGGUGUAUUCAGUUCUGCUGGUAUUGAGAUUUCUGGUCAUAAGCGAAGUAGAGUUUGACUCUUAAUUUUGGUGAAGUGGGAUGCUAGGUCAUGAAUAAAUCCGCACUAUGCUAGGGGCUGUGCAAAGAAUAGAGAUGAACCCAGCCUCAAAUAUCCACACUUAGUAGCCUGUGUCAUAAUUAAAAGUUGUUAGGACACUUCAGAAUCUCCCUACCUCGUAAGUGAUGCAUCCAUAUACAUUUAUAUCUCCAUAAUAAAAUAGAAAACCUGUACACUUUUAUUGUUGAUAAUAAAACAUAAAAUACGAUACUAUUCUCCAAGUAACAUGAAUGCAGCAAUCGGAGUACCUGGGGAGGGGAGGAAUCUUGAUCUCUUGCACACUUUUGGUUUACAUGUACCUCAAGUUGCUCGCUUUAUAGAAAGAAGCAGAAUUUGUUGUGGAAACUGUCUCACACGGAGCACACUGAAUUCAGGUGGAGAGCACAGAGCGGGAGCUCCUGCCCUUCUAAUAAUCAAAUACUGUGCAUUCAUGAAUAAAGCUCUAACAGUAACGAUAAGAGAAGAAAAUACAGCAACCACGUGAUGUAUUAGCAGAAUGUCUUACAAAGUCCCCCACAAAGCAUCCGCUGCUCUUGAAAAGCCCAACCAGCCCAAGUGAGAAACUAUUCACAAGUUUAGUAUUCAGAUUACAUACUCCGUCUUUUCAACUGCUCUCUGUACAAUGAAUGCCUGUACAACUACAGUAACAGACACAGAUCUACAGUUUCUGUGGCCUUUGAGCUAUUAUGAGCAUUGUGCCUCUCCAUAAAUUACAUCUGCAUGUCCUGAAAAUACCAACUGUUUUAAUAGGAAUUAAUCUAUAGGCUUUUAUCUUCCUGAAAUACAAGGGGUGCAGUAUGUUGAGUCGCUUUUAAAAUUAAUAGGGUAUGGCCUGAAAAUAUUCAAGGAUGUUCAUUAUUUUCUUUAUAGGUCUCUUUAUUGGUGCAUAUAAGCAUAAAACAGUGCCUUUUUGUAGUAGAGAGGAGGAGAUGGAAUACUGAAUAGAUUAGUGCUUAUAUGGUUGUAGAUUGCCCGACACAGUUAAGUAAAGAAAGGUCUACAUUUGUCCUGUUCAAAGUAUAUUGGGAUUCGAUCCAAUUUGUCAUCAAAGUACCCCUUCUUGGUUAGAAAAGAGAGGGUUCAGUCUAAAGGCAUGAAAGCUGACCCGGAGGUCCAUUGCUCAGUGGUGUUCAUAGCUGUCCAAGGUAGCAGUGUAGUAGAUAUGCCUUUUUUUAACUUCCUAAACCUAAAAAAACCUGGAGCUUUUGCAGCAAUAAGCUAUUAUUUAUGUGGAUACCUAACACAGGUCUUGGGGGAGCUAACUCCUAGAACACUUUGACCUUAUAAAAGCACACAAAAUAGUAUCAACCAGAUCAUUCAGACCAGAAUUGAUAUAAAAAGCCUUUUUGGCUGUUUUGAAUAUUAACGUGUGAAGGCAUACACACACAAGUUAAAUGCAUAUAUAUAGUUAAAUACUACACUGAAACAGGCUGAGCCCAUCACUGACCUAUCGAAACAUGUUACUGAUGAGCAAUAAGGCAUUAAUUUCUCCUCCCGGCCUCCCUGUUAAAUGGGGCAGCUCUGUUGCAUCCAACAGAACAAAGGAGAACUGAGGCCUGUGGUUACCCUGGGGACACGACAAGUCUGAGGACUGGGUGGCUGUCCCCUGGGCAGCUGGGCUGUUGUGGCAGAGCGCUGUCUAGAGCAGGCAUGGCUGUGUGAGGGCUGCUUAGGUCUCAUGGAUGGAAACAGAGGGGAAAGGAGCUCCAGAAAUGGCUCUCUAUAAGAUUUGCCCCAAGCAGCUUCUGUAGUGUGGCAGAAGUCUGCGGCAAAGCUGAGAAGUGCUUUCAGGCUAUUGCUCAGAUGAAAAAAUAAAACCCUUGUUGCAUUAUUUGCUGCAAUUUAAAAACAGAACUGAAACGUAGAGGAAUGAUGACUUGGUUGAAAUCACACAGAGGACCUCUGUCCACGGCUGGAUGUGAACACUGGUGUCCUGAUCCCUAAACCACCACUUGAGCCUCAAGGUCGCCACAGCUGCUCCAGAGAGUGUAACCUGGGGGCAGUUGCGUGGUUGAUGGAAAUCACUGGAGCUCUCUCUGCAGCCCCUGAGCUGUGGCAGAGCUGAAUUUUGCAAUGAAACCAGUGAUUCACCCUAUGCCCAUGCUGCUGUGGUGAAGAUGCUCUCAUCUCUGCAGUCUUCGCACUUAACAGAUUAAUUUUUAAGGGUGAACCCUUUCAGGUUAGUGCCUGUCCCCUGCUUUUCCCUUGGUCACUCUUGCCUGUUUUCACAGUUUCAUUUGGUUUUGAAAGCUUAUGGAGCAGCGGGAUUAAAACCAGAAAUAAUUACUGUAGAGGACGGGUCUGGCGUUUCCCAUCAGCUUCCAUGACUCAAGCUGGUUCCAACAGCUUUGGGAGAAAAGCUGUUAGUUAUUAAAUUAUUACCUGUAAGGAGAGCCAGCUGGAAGCUUUCAGCUUUCAACAUUUUGAUGAAAAGCAUCAUAAAAAAUCUUGACGACAAAACUUCCAGCAUUUCAACGACACCUUUUACAUUUACCCAUGCUUUCCAAUGCCUUGUAAGAGCUAUCGAGAGCCGCCCAGACCUGCCAUCUUGGGAAUUUUGACCCCACGGUGGAAAAAAAAAGGGAAAAAAAAAGUGCAAAAAACAUAAAGUGUUUGCUGUUCAGCGAAUUCAUUUGGACAGCUUUUGGGAAGUCACUUUCCAUCUGGAGGAGAGCGUCCACAAGGAGGGUUAUUCCGGCAUAACGGUAACGGUGUAAUUACACAGCUAUAGCUAUGCCAGCCUAUUUUCUGAGGUAGGCAAGCCAAGUCUAGUUGCUGAAACGUAGGCGUGGGAAACAAGAAGUCUGCUUUCUAGGCUCGGCUCUGAGCACUGCUCUUCAUGGCCUUGGGCCAGUCCCCUAACCCUCCUGCCUCCUUCCUAUGCAAAAUGAGAAGAGUUAAACUAACCCGCUUCUCAGAUGUGGUGUAAUGACUAAUUGGCUAAAAUUUGUAGUGCUGGUGAGGGAGUUAUUGGCUUGGCUCAGGCACCUACAGCCUGACACAAAGAGCGCGGGUACGCACGGUGCAGGAACUCCACUCAGCACAUCCCAGAGCUCUCUGGCAACCAGUGUAGGUAAAGGACGACUCCAUCAGCCCUCCUCCUGGGUGACACGUUUGUGUGCCUACCUCUGUCAGCUCAGAUUGCUUCAUUACCUGCGCCGGCGUUUCCUCACGCAGGUGCCCAGCGCUGACAGCACCACUGGUCUUUGUGGCAAGAAACGCUUCCUGACACCCAACCCGUUCCUUCCCCGGCACAGCUGAGGCCAUCUGUGGUGCCGUGGCAGUGCCUGGGGGCGGCGGGCCGUCAGCCGGCGCUCGUCGUCCAAAGGGAAACACCGCCGUUCUGCCCCUCUCUCCACCACAGCGUGCGCGGGAGGUGGGGAAAGCGCUGCGGAGGGGCUUUCGUUUUAAACCGGGUUUUCCCUCCGAGCGCAAAGCCUGAAGGAAAAAAAAAAAAACAAAAACAACAACAACAACAAAAAAAGAACCAACCAAAAAGCAGAAAUUACCUCACGUUCGCUCCGAACGCCCAACGAGGCACCGGCGCGGCGCUGGGAGCCCUUCAUCCCCGCGACACCGAACCGGGCACGGGCCGGUUAAAAACAGAAGCGCUGAAUCACGACCGAGCGCCCGACUUCGCCCUCCGCCGCGGGCCGAGCGCUGCGGGGCAGCCCGGUG